CCAGAGAAAUGAAAAUCAGCGGCACCACCUUUUGCCCUUCAGAAGCACUAUUGAUACAAAUGAAUGCUCAGUGACAUUCAAGCAACAAAAAAGAGAAGUCAGAUGAAUGUUUCUCAUCAAGAGCUUGGAUAUCCAUAUUUGUCAUGACUGGAAAGAGACUUGUUGUGCUGAAAUCCUGUCAUCAGGGUGUUUAUCUUCAGUGGCCAAAAAAAACUAUACGCGGUUGGACCCUAAAAUGAGAACUAUUCUUCCUAGUUCCAAAAUAGUGAAUAUUGAACCCUCCAAAUGUGAUAGCUAAACAAGAGGAUCAUAAUCACCAGGAAACAUCUUCUAAAUUCCCACAAAUGUGUCUGCUCAGCUACCACAGAGCAUCUGAUGGCAUUUAUCUGUUCUGCUGGAAGUAUCACCAUGUUCCACUGAGUGGAACUGGGCACUGCUUUCUCACCCUGCCUUUUGAGGCAUCGAAUCUUCAACCUCCAUACUACAUGAUGCUCUUCUGCAAGAUAGGAGAGAACAGUCUUCAUUUUGUGUCAUGCAGUCUGCCUUCACAUAGAUCCAGUAACAGUUGGAAUCAUUUUCUGUUGUGAAAAAAGACUCUUAAAAAUUUUUAGAAGGGAAUUGAGUCAGAAGAAAAAUUUAAAUGGCAAACACCCAGGCUAAUGCAAAUACAACCCUGUGAAUCAUCUAUAGCUGACUUGAAAUAGACUAAGUGGAUAAUAGAAGAUGAAUAAAAUUCUAAAAAUUUCCAAAUGAGUCUUAAGAUUAGGGCUGAAACAGAUCUGGGAAGACAACACUGUGAUACCUUGGGCUAUUUUACCUAAGACUGAUGCCCUGAAUACAGUUCUGAGGAAAAUGACUCUGCCUCCAGGGUCAGCCCAGAAGAAGAGCUGCAAAGAAGCAUUUCUGCAGUAUUUAACUAUGUAUCCGGAAGUGGAAGUCUCCAUUCUCAAGGAAAAGCUAUGGAGCACUGAGAGUCCCCAGGGAGGAGGCUUGGGGAGAGGUGAAGAGGGUAAUGGAACAUCUGUACUUUAGUGCUUUAUGCACUUGAAAUUUAUUUAUAGUGCUUCUUUUCUUGAUAAAUGGAAUUAUCUUCUGAGUCUUAUUUAACAAGGGACACAUAACACUCUAAAAUGCAAACUAAAAGCCAUGACCGUAAAAUUAAAAGGUGUUUGUACAAAUUAAAAUGCUGCAUGUUUUGGGUUUGAAUGAGGUUGAACAAGAAAUCUUACAUUACUACUUAGUUGUAUUAGACAUUUGACCUGAUAAAAUAAGGGUCUUCAGAAAGAACAUUAUAAACACAGGAGGUAUCAGCAUCAGAAGAGAAUUGAGAAAGCAUCGAGUAGAGUGGAGAAAUAAAACAUCACCUAAUGUGUUUAUAAAUAGGGUAUAGUCUGCUGUGCCAUUCCCUAUGGAAAAAUGGAAAAAGUGGAGAAAGGUAACUAUGAGCACACAACUAAGCUGAGAUUCAUACCAGUGCUUGCCUGUGAGGUGGGAACAUGAUGGAAUCUAGCCAGAAGUAGAGAUGUAAGUCACUAGUAGUGAGGAGCAUUAAGUAGAUUUGAUGCUGCAUAACUUAUUGCGAUCCUCUGAGUAUUUUAUGGGUGAACAUGACCUGUCUUAAACAUUGUUUAAGUAAAGAGGUUAAUGUUAAAUCUUUCUGCAUCAUAGAAAUGCUCUGAGAAAAAAAAGGUGGCCUCACACAAACAGGUAAAAAAGAAUGUCAAAGUUUUAAGCACCUACUUAUUUGCAGACUGAAAGUAUCUUUCAUUCAGGCCAGGUAGAAUCUGGCUGGGUUUUGGAGUUCUUUAACAACCAUCUCUCCUCUGUAAUGGCUCUUAUUCAAGAA